rnacentral:rRNA from 1 species
UGGUUUAAUUCGAAGCAACGCGCAGAACCUUACCAACGUUUGACAUCCCUAUCGCGAUUUCCAGAGAUGGAUUUCUUCAGUUCGGCUGGAUAGGUGACAGGUGCUGCAUGGCUGUCGUCAGCUCGUGUCGUGAGAUGUUGGGUUAAGUCCCGCAACGAGCGCAACCCUCGCCUUUAGUUGCCAGCAUUUAGUUGGGUACUCUAAAGGAACCGCCGGUGAUAAGCCGGAGGAAGGUGGGGAUGACGUCAAGUCCUCAUGGCCCUUACGCGUUGGGCUACACACGUGCUACAAUGGCGACUACAGUGGGCAGCGACCUCGCGAGGGGAAGCUAAUCUCCAAAAGUCGUCUCAGUUCGGAUCGUUCUCUGCAACUCGAGAGCGUGAAGGCGGAAUCGCUAGUAAUCGCGGAUCAGCAUGCCGCGGUGAAUACGUUCCCAGGCCUUGUACACACCGC